rnacentral:rRNA from 1 species
UACAGAGGUCUCAAGCGUUGUUCGGAUUCAUUGGGCGUAAAGGGCUCGUAGGCGGUCCGUCACGUCGGGAGUGAAAACUCGGGGCUCAACCCCGAGCCUGCUUUCGAUACGGGCGGACUAGAGGUAGGUAGGGGAGAACGGAAUUCCUGGUGUAGCGGUGGAAUGCGCAGAUAUCAGGAGGAACACCGGUGGCGAAGGCGGUUCUCUGGGCCUUACCUGACGCUGAGGAGCGAAAGCGUGGGGAGCGAACAGG